rnacentral:rRNA from 1 species
UCGAGAAUAAUUCACAAUGGGGGAAACCCUGAUGGUGCAACGCCGCGUGGAGGAUGAAGGUCUUCGGAUUGUAAACUCCUGUCAUCGGGGAGUAAGACCUGGCGGUAAAUAGCCGACAGGGUUGAUAGUACCCGAAGAGGAAGGGACGGCUAACUUCGUGCCAGCAGCCGCGGUAAUACGAAGGUCCCAAGCGUUGUUCGGAAUCACUGGGCGUAAAGGGAGCGUAGGCGGCGUGGUAAGUCAGAUGUGAAAUCCCGGGGCUCAACCCCGGAACUGCAUCCGAUACUGCCGUGCUUGAGGGUUGGAGAGGUAGCUGGAAUUAUCGGUGUAGCAGUGAAAUGCGUGGAUAUCGAUAGGAACACUCGUGGCGAAGGCGAGCUACUGGACAACAUCUGACGCUGAGGCUCGAAGGCUAGGGGAGCAAAAG